rnacentral:SRP_RNA from 1 species
UCUGCGGGGACCCCCCGUGGCGUCCACCCUGUGAACUUCCCCAGGGCCGGAAGGCAGCAAGGAUAAGCGGGCUCUGGCGGGUACGGGGGGAACCCGCUUUUUU